rnacentral:rRNA from 1 species
GACGAACGCUGGCGGCGUGCUUAACACAUGCAAGUCGAGCGGAGCGGCGAACGGGUGAGUAACGCGUGAGUAACUGCCCCCCUCCCUGGGAUAACAGUUGGAAACGGCUGCCAAUACCGGAUAGUGGGGGAUGACUCGCGUCCUAUCAGCUUGUUGGUGGGGUAGUGGCCUACCAAGGCGACGACGGGUAGCCGGCCUGAGAGGGCGACCGGCCACAUUGGGCUGAGAUACGGACCAAACGCCUACGGGGGGCAGCGGUGGGGAGUAUGACACAGUGAGGGAAACCCUAAGGCGGCAGCGCCGCGGGCGGAAUGACGGCCUUCGGGUUGGGAACCGCUUUCAGCCAUGACGCGGUAGUGGCAGAAGAAGCACCGGCUAACUACGUGCCAGCAGCCGCGGUAAUUC